GAUGAAGAACGUAGCGAAAUGCGAUAAGUAGUGUGAAUUGCAGAAUUCAGUGAAUCAUCGAAUCUUUGAACGCACAUUGCGCCCCUUGGUAUUCCGGGGGGCAUGCCUGUUCGAGCGUCAUUUCAACCCUCAAGCUCUGCUUGGUCUUGGGCCGCGCCGGCAACGGCGGGCCUCAAAAACAGUGGCGGCGCCAUCUGGUCCCUCAGCGUAGUAAUUCUUCUCGCUGCUGGGCCCCGGUGGCCGCUUGCCAGCAACACCAAACUUUCUAUGGUUGACCUCGGAUCAGGUAGGGAUACCCGCUGAACUUAAGCAUAUCAAUAAGCGGAGGA
rnacentral:misc_RNA from 1 species